rnacentral:rRNA from 1 species
AGAGACAGCAGUCGCCACGGUAAUACGUAGGGUGCAAGCGUUAAUCGGAAUUACUGGGCGUAAAGCGUGCGCAGGCGGUUAUAUAAGACAGAUGUGAAAUCCCCGGGCUCAACCUGGGAACUGCAUUUGUGACUGUAUAGCUAGAGUACGGCAGAGGGGGAUGGAAUUCCGCGUGUAGCAGUGAAAUGCGUAGAUAUGCGGAGGAACACCGAUGGCGAAGGCAAUCCCCUGGGCCUGUACUGACGCUCAUGCACGAAAGCGUGGGGAGCAAACAGGAUUAGAUACCCCCGUAGUCCCUGUCUCUUAUAA